rnacentral:rRNA from 1 species
GGUACUCGCGAAUGCCUCUAGAUUAGAGUUUGAUCAUGGCUCAGACUUGAACGCUGGCGGCAGGCUUAACACAUGCAAGUCGAGCGGGGAAGGGUAGCUUGCUACCUAACCUAGCGGCGGACGGGUGAGUAAUGCUUAGGAAUCUGCCAUUUAGUGGGGGACAACAUUCCGAAAGGAAUGCUAAUACCGCAUACGUCCUACGGGAGAAAGCAGGGGAUCUUCGGACCUUGCGCUAAAUGAUGAGCCUAAGUCGGAUUAGCUAGUUGGUGGGGUAAAGGCCUACCAAGGCGACAAUCUGUAGCGGGUCUGAGAGGAUGAUCCGCCACACUGGGACUGAGACACGGCCCAGACUCCUACGGGAGGCAGCAGUGGGGAAUAUUGGACAAUGGGCGGAAGCCUGAUCCAGCCAUGCCGCGUGUGUGAAGAAGGCCUUUUGGUUGUAAAGCACUUUAAGCGAGGAGGAGGCUACUAGUACUAAU